CCUACGGGGGGCAGCAGUGAGGAAUAUUGGUCAAUGGACGAGAGUCUGAACCAGCCAAGUAGCGUGAAGGAUGACUGCCCUAUGGGUUGUAAACUUCUUUUAUAUGGGAAUAAAACGUUCCACGUGUGGGAUUUUGUAUGUACCAUAUGAAUAAGGAUCGGCUAACUCCGUGCCAGCAGCCGCGGUAAUACGGAGGAUCCGAGCGUUAUCCGGAUUUAUUGGGUUUAAAGGGAGCGUAGGUGGAUUGUUAAGUCAGUUGUGAAAGUUUGCGGCUCAACCGUAAAAUUGCAGUUGAAACUGGCAGUCUUGAGUACAGUAGAGGUGGGCGGAAUUCGUGGUGUAGCGGUGAAAUGCUUAGAUAUCACGAAGAACUCCGAUUGUGAAGGCAGUUCACUGGACUGGAACUGACACUGAGGCUCGAAAGUGUGGGUAUCAAACAGGAUUAGAUACCCGAGUAGUC
rnacentral:rRNA from 1 species